GCCGGGAGGCGGGGGAAGCGGCAGCGAACGGACCCAACUGGGUAAUCUCCUGUUCUUCAGUCUCUCACUUCUUUCACUCCUCUUCCCAUCUUGCAGGAAGUUGUGUAAGCCUGAAAUUGCAGAAACACACUGGAUAUAACAUCUGGAACAAUAAAACAAGAGCUGAGCAUUGGUAAAUUAAAAACAGAUGCCAACUGCACUUGGCAGAGAAGAUGCAACUUCUGCACCUGUCCAGGCUAUUUGGGAUGAAACUCAGCUGGGCCUGGGCAGCCCUUGGCCAGCACUUCCCCAGGGCAGCUGCUCACAGAGACAUUUCUUUUAACCCAGGCACUAUUUCCAGUUCAGCAGUCAAAACCUCUCCUUCUGAGGCAAGAGAAGCUUAGUAUUACACUAUUUUGGAAGCUAAUCUUAU